AUCCCCCACACUGGUACUGAGGACACGGACCAGACUCCUACGGGAGGCAGCAGUGAGGAAUAUUGGACAGUGGGCGGAAGCCUGAUCCAGCCAUGCCGCGUGCAGGAAGACUGCCCUAUGGGUUGUAAACUGCUUUUGUACGGGAAGAAACACUCCUACGUGUAGGGGCUUGACGGUACCGUAAG
rnacentral:rRNA from 1 species